rnacentral:rRNA from 1 species
UACGUAGGGUGCAGGCGUUAAUCGGAAUUACUGGGCGUAAAGCGUGCGUAGGCGGUUUGUUAAGACAGGUGUGAAAUCCCCGGGCUUAACCUGGGAACUGCGCUUGUUACUGGCAGACUUGAGUGUGGCAGAGGGGGGUGGAAUUCCAGGUGUAGCAGUGAAAUGCGUAGAUAUCAAGUGGAACACCAGUGGCGAAGGCGAGUCCCUGGACAAGACCUGACACUGAGGCACGAAAGCCAGGGGAGCAAACAGG